UACGUAGGGGCCGAGCGUUGUCCGGAGUUAUUGGGCGUAAAGCGCGCGCAGGCGGCCUCGCGCGCCCGACGUGAAAGCCCCCGGCUCAACUGGGGAGGGUCACGCGAUACUGAUCGACUCGAAGGCAGGAGAGGGAAGUGGAAUUCCCGGUGUAGUGGUGAAAUGCGUAGAUAUCGGGAGGAACACCAGUGGCGAAGGCGACUUCCUGGCCUGUUCUUGACGCUGAGGCGCGAAAGCUAGGGGAGCAAACGGG
rnacentral:rRNA from 1 species